rnacentral:tRNA from 1 species
UCUCCGUUUAGCUCAGUAUGGAUAGAGUAGGCCGUUUGGGGCGGUCGGGUCGAAGGUUCGAAUCCUUCAACGGAGACCAA